rnacentral:lncRNA from 1 species
CUUUCAUGUAAGAAAAUUGGGUCUUUCUAAUGUUGUACUUCUUGGUUUAAUAUUGGUUAAACCAAUAUUACCCCAAAAGCAGAAGGCAGAGAAAACCAGGAAAGUCCCAGGGUACAUAGUGUGCAAGCAGACAGCAAAAGGAACGUGCUAAAUGGCAAAGGGUAAGUCUCAGAAGUGUUGCAGUUGGGGUUGAAGUAAGUGUUGGUUGGUUAUGCUUAACUUUUCCUACAGCCAAGAUUUCAGCACUUCAUCUGAAUACCUUGCACCUUGCAAAAUUGUUUUCCAGAAAAAGUGCACUGAAAAAUAAAAUCAUGUUUUUUUAAAGUUAAGGGAAAAGAGAUAUGUGUUGAUGCCUAGAUCUAUGUGACACCAAAUGAAUAAAAAGUAGAAAAAUAUCAUCUUCCAGAUGUUUCAUCUAGGUUAUAACAGCAUAUUUUCACUUUCCAUGCAGAUGUUUGGCAUGUAAAUGUAGGCUGUGACUAAGAUACUGAAAAGCACUGAUUGAGAAAUCAGAAAAAUGUCAUUUUUAUAUUGUCCACAAACGGCCACUGAAAUAUUUUUUCAACUUAUUUUUGGCCUAUCUUAAACAUAUAAUUGGCCAUGAAAUUACUAGCUCUGUAAUCUCAUAAGCUAAAUGAAACAUUGAUAUGACUUCUCAAUUUUCUGUUUUGCUCAUGUAUAUCCCCUUGCUUUGUUCUCUGAGCAUCUGAUUAAGGAAGUACUCAGUUUCCUAAAGCCAGAGGAUUCCAGUCCCACUGAAACCUGCUCGUGCCUUCACCCUCAUAGUCUCCCAGUGAGUGCAGUAUCCUGGAAAUUUGGAGUCUGACAAACCAUAACAGCUAAAGUUUGAUCAUGGAAGCACAGCCACCACAAGUGAUAUGAAAUAAAUGGUUUACUGAAGAGGUUAGACUCGACAGCAUUGUGGGAACUUAUAAAGAAGCCUAUGGGAGGCUGUUGCCUUUGCAUCUGGCAGUAGCCUUGAAGUCACUAGAGGUCAAGAAGGCUGGCAAUCAGGAAGACAAGCUGGACAUGAACAGAGAGACAAGACAAACUAAAACCCACAUCUGUAUCUCAUGGCCUCCAACCUCAACAAUAUAGAUAACUUGCAGAAGAGACUGGUGUCCUUUGCCGUGAAGCUGCACAAGGUUCCUGCCAUGGCUCAGGACUCAAAGAACUGAAAGGAAGAGAUCUGCUGAAAACUAGAGAAGCUGUGGACCCAGCCAUUGCCCCACACCAACGAGGUGAACCAGCAGAUAAGUGAUGACGUCAGAAUAUUAUAGACCUAUUGAAAACACUGGCUUCUCAAAUAUGGCAAAAAACACUGAAUUCCAGAAAACUUUAAAUUACUCAUAUUUGCUUAUGGAUAGGUAGAAACCUGCUACAAUAAGGAGACUACCCUUGUUCUUUGGAUAUGCAUAAUGAAGUAAUUAUGGAGAAGGGUAAUAGUUAUUGCAACUUACUCUCAAAUGCUUCCAAAAGGAAAGGGAAUAAAGAGGGGAAGGAAGAGGAAGAAGGGGUAAAAGAGAAGAACAGAAAAAAAAAAGGAAGGAGGAAGAGAACCCAGCACAGAAAGUACAGGAAAACAUCAUUCCUUAACCUCUUUAAAAUUCUUUCAUAAAGUAAA